UGGGGAAUAUUGCACAAUGGGGGAAACCCUGAUGCAGCAACGCCGCGUGGGUGAAGAAGUAUUUCGGUAUGUAAAGCCCUAUCAGCAGGGAAGAAGAGAGACGGUACCUGACUAAGAAGCCCCGGCUAACUACGUGCCAGCAGCCGCGGUAAUACGUAGGGGGCAAGCGUUAUCCGGAUUUACUGGGUGUAAAGGGAGCGUAGACGGCUUGAUAAGUCUGAAGUGAAAGGCCAAGGCUUAACCAUGGAACUGCUUUGGAAACUAUGAGGCUAGAGUGCUGGAGAGGUAAGCGGAAUUCCUAGU
rnacentral:rRNA from 1 species